GAGGGCAGUGUGCGGCUUCCCAGCCCAGGGUUGGGAAUAGCUGGUGUUGUGCAAUGCAAGACGCCCGUGAGGUGAAUCGUUUGGAAAAACAAAGGCUUAAUAAGGAAAUGCCACAUGAAGAUGAUCUCACCAUUACUCUCAAGAAUGAAAAAUCCCAAGGAGGCAUAUGACUGAUGUCCAACUCUGGGCCAGAACUUCGGAAGUGGCUCAAAGUCUUCCUGAUCUGGCAUACUUCAUCCCUAGUGACUUCCCAGGCCUAGACUCAACUCCAGCAAAACGAGGGCAUUGCUGUUUUCUGUCGCUGUGCCUACAGCCGUCCCUGAUCCAAGCAGAACAGGUAGGUGUUUCCGCUGAGAUGAACCCUGUCGAGUCUACAGCUGAGCAUCUGCCACACAACAGAGGCCGAGGCACUUGGACUGCCACCCUCAUCUUCAUCAUCCUCAUUAACUCAUCAUCCUGUGUCUGGAUUUGGAGAAAUCCCAGUUUGUGAAAACCACGUCAGAAACCAUCAAUUUUCGCGAUCAUUCU